rfam:Otolemur garnettii contig026474, whole genome shotgun sequence.
AGGCGCGGAGCCUCAAGGAUCAUUUCUAUAGUUCGUUACUGGAGAAAUCUCUCUGAAUGUGUAGAGCACCGGAAACCACAAGGAGGAGGCACAGCAUUCUCUCCUGAGCGUGAAGCUGGCUCUUGUUUUUGCUUUAGUGCAGUUGCCAUUUGCCAUGAUGAUCCUUCUUUUCCUUUGGGGGAGUAAGAGGGAGAGAACAUAGGA